AGUGAGCGCUGGCGGUAGGCCUAACACAUGCAAGUCGAACGGCAGCACAGUAAGAGCUUGCUCUUACGGGUGGCGAGUGGCGGACGGGUGAGGAAUACAUCGGAAUCUACUUUUUCGUGGGGGAUAACGUAGGGAAACUUACGCUAAUACCGCAUACGACCUACGGGUGAAAGCAGGGGAUCUUCGGACCUUGCGCGAUUGAAUGAGCCGAUGUCGGAUUAGCUAGUUGGCGGGGUAAAGGCCCACCAAGGCGACGAUCCGUAGCUGGUCUGAGAGGAUGAUCAGCCACACUGGAACUGAGACACGGUCCAGACUCCUACGGGAGGCAGCAGUGGGGAAUAUUGGACAAUGGGCGCAAGCCUGAUCCAGCCAUACCGCGUGGGUGAAGAAGGCCUUCGGGUUGUAAAGCCCUUUUGUUGGGAAAGAAAAGCAGCAGGUUAAUACCCCACUGUUCUGACGGUACCCAAAGAAUAAGCACCGGCUAACUUCGUG
rnacentral:rRNA from 1 species